rnacentral:misc_RNA from 1 species
GCUGCCUGACAUGCCCUGAGCUUUGUCCGCCAGAGCUAAGUUGAUCUAGCCUAGCUUACGACUUGGACAGUAGACUGAGUAGUGAGCAGGAACUCCUAAUAAAUAUGGAUGGAGCUACAUGUAAACAAGUUAGUGAUGAAACUACACCACUUGUAGUCGCACAACAAUUAAAGGGUUCUGAUGUACAAGAUGUCCGGGACAAGGUGAACCCAGGCGGUACCUUCAAAACCACCUUUGGAACCACACUAACAUGUAUUGGGUGCAUGGUAGGAACCGGUAAUAUUUGGCGAUUCCCAAGGAUCUUAGCAAAUAACAGCGGGGAUGAAGGUUGUUUGCAGUUCCUACUGGUAUGGUUAGUAUUCCUGUUCAUUUGGUCGAUCCCUAUUAUCCUGAUUGAGUAUGGUACCGGUCGAUACACCAAGAAGGGUCCUAUAUCUUCAUUCAAAGAGCUUGCAGGGCCAAAGAGUGCAUGGGCUGGGGGUUGGAUUGCAAUCAUCAACUUAGGAAUAAGUGGUUACUACUGUGUAAUACUUGGCUGGUGCAUUUAUUAUCUCUUCUUUUAUAUGAGUCAUGAUCUACCUGGAAACUAUAAUGAAAGUUACUCAACAUUUUACAGCUUUACAAAUGAAUCUGCCAUGCCAGUAUUGUUUCAUGCCAUAUCCAUCCUGUUAUCAGCACUGAUUGUUCUCUGGGGGGUCAAAAGCAUUGAGUUGGUCAGUUCCAUCAUUGUAUCCAUCUUCCUCCUCCUCAUCAUCAUUUGUUUCAUCUGGAGCUUGACUUUGCCUAAUGCUGAUGAUGGCAUUCGCUUUCUCUUCACACCUGAUUGGGUGCAGCUUAGAAACCCUAGGAUGUGGGUAGAUGCCAUAAGUCAAAAUGCAUUCGAUACAGGUGCAGCUGCUGGUCUAUUUGUUUCAUAUGCUGCCUAUAUGACUGCUGAAACUGGGAUAGUACGAUAUGGUAUUCUUGUCCCUAUUGGAAAUAAUAUUGUCAGUUUGAUAUGUGGUAUGCUGACAUAUGCAACUGUCUUUUCAACUCAAAGUUCUCUCAACAAAUCUGAAAUAGUGGAUUUACUUGGAGAAAAUGGCCCAGGUAACACAGGACUAACUUUUAUUUGGUUUCCAAUAUUUUUCAAUGAGAUUGGGAGAGGAGGUCGUUUUGUCUGUGUAAUCUUCUUCAUAUCCAUUGUAUUUGCUGGCCUAAGCUCUCUUACAGCUAAUGUUGAACUACUUGUCAAGGUCAUGGAAGAUUUUGGAUUAAACAGGAAACUCUCAACAUUGUUGAUUUCAUUGGUCAUCUUUUUACUUGGAAUUGGAUCUGCUCUAAGUCUUAAUUUCCUUAUCAAUCAGGACUUUGUUUGGGGUUUUGGUCUUCUUAUAGCAGGUUUGAUGUUCCUCUAUCUAGUGAUAAGAGUAGGACCUUCUAUAUUUCGUAGGAAGAUGUUUAAUGAGUACAGCGUCAACGAUUGGCAUCUUUAUGCUCCCUGGGAUUGGAUGGUCAUGUUUAUUGCACCUAUUGAGGCAGUGAUCUUGAUUAUAUGGUGGGCAUACGAUACUAUAUCUGACAAUAAAGAAGACUGGUAUCAAUUUCUUCCAGAGAGCUUCAUGGCAACUGUAGUUCAGAUUCCCUGCUGCGCUGAAUGACCUACUUCUCCUGAAGCCACGUGCCAGAAUGCGUAUGAUGGUCUGUGAUGUCAGUGAUGGAAUAGUGCACUAUUCUAUCAUUGACGUGACAGAAUAGUAAAUUUUCUUCAGUGGGCGAUUCAUUUUCAACAUCAUCGCAAAAUAUGGGUAGGUGCUCUCAUCAUCCUGAUUACCAUCAAUAUAUUAACCUUACGAUAUGGUUCCAAGUCAUCCAGUGAUACUCCAUCUACUCAUCUCUUCAUUAAAAGUAGA